AGGAUGAACGCUGGCGGCGUGCCUAACACAUGCAAGUCGAACGUCCUGUCUCGCAAGAGGCAGGGAGUGGCGGACGGGUGAGUACCACGUGGGUCAUCUACCGUGAGGUGAGGAAUACCGGCGAGAAAUCGCCGACAAGACCGCAUAGCCUCGGUGCAAGUCGAGGAAAGCUCUCUCGAGAGAGGGAGCGCCACACGAGGAGCCUGCGCCCGAUUAGCUAGCUGGUGGAGUAAUGGUUCACCAGGGCGACGAUCGGUAGCUGGUCUGAGAGGACGAUCAGCCACACUGGGAUUGAGAACGGCCCAGACUCCUACGGGGGGCAGCAGUGAGGAAUUUUCGUCAAUGGGGGCAACCCUGAACGAGCAACGCCGCGUGCAGGAAGAAGGUUUCGGAUCGUAAACUGCUUUUCUCGGGAAGAGAACGGACGGUACCCGAGGAAUCAGCCCGGCUAACUACGUGCCACGCACGCGCGGU
rnacentral:rRNA from 1 species